rnacentral:rRNA from 1 species
AGGAUGAACGCUGGCGGUCUGCUUAACACAUGCAAGUCGAACGGGCGUAGCAAUACGUUAGUGGCGGACGGGUGAGUAACGCGUGAGAAUCUACCUUCAGGACGGAGACAACAGUUGGAAACGACUGCUAACCCCCGAUGUACUGAAAAGGCAAAUAUUUAUAGCCUGAAGAAGAGCUCGCGUCCGAUUAGCUAGUUGGAGAGGUAAAAGCUCACCAAGGCGACGAUCGGUAGCUGGUCUGAGAGGACGAUCAGCCACACUGGGACUGAGACACGGCCCAGACUCCUACGGGAGGCAGCAGUGGGGAAUUUUCCGCAAUGGGCGAAAGCCUGACGGAGCAAGACCGCGUGGGGGAAGAAGGCUCUUGGGUUGUAAACCCCUUUUCUCUGGGAAGACACAAUGACGGUACCAGAGGAAUCAGCAUCGGCUAACUCCGUGCCAGCAGCCGC